rnacentral:rRNA from 1 species
GACGAACGCUGGCGGCGCGCCUAACACAUGCAAGUCGAACGAGCGAGAGAGAGCUUGCUUUCUCAAGCGAGUGGCGAACGGGUGAGUAACGCGUGAGGAACCUGCCUCAAAGAGGGGGACAACAGUUGGAAACGACUGCUAAUACCGCAUAAGCCCACAGGUCGGCAUCGACCAGAGGGAAAAGGAGCAAUCCGCUUUGAGAUGGCCUCGCGUCCGAUUAGCGAGUUGGUGGGGUAACGGCCCACCAAGGCAACGAUCGGGACCCGGAGGGAUGAGUUGAACCGCCACAUUGGGACUGAGACACGGCCCAGACUCCUACGGGAGGCAGCAGUGGGGAAUAUUGCACAAUGGGGGAAACCCUGAUGCAGCGACGCCGCGUGGAGGAAGAAGGUCUUCGGAUUGUAAACUCCUGUUGUUGAGGAAGAUAAUGACGGUACUCAACAAGGAAGUGACGGCUAACUACGUG